rnacentral:rRNA from 1 species
CGGAGCUGUCAAGGAGCUUUGAUGCGUAGAUGUCCGAAUGGGGCAACCCAACUAAUAGAGAUAUUAGUUACUCUUUAAUAGAGAGCGAACCUAGUGAAGGAAACAUCUCAGUAACUAGAGGAAAAGAAAUCAACGAGAUUCCCUAAGUAGUGGCGAGCGAACGGGGRAAAGGGCAAACCGAGUGCUUGCAUUCGGGGUUGAGGACUGCAACAUCCAAGAGAACGCUUUAGCAGAGUUACCUGGAAAGGUAAGCCAUAGAAAGUGAUAGCCUUGUAUGCGACAAGGCGUUCUUAGGUAGCAGUAUCCAGAGUAGGCCAGGACACGAGAAAUCCAGGUUGAAGCCGGGGAGACCACUCUCCAACCCUAAAUACUACUCUUUGAGCGAUAGCGAACAAGUACCGUGAGGGAAAGGUGAAAAGAACCGCAGUGAGCGGAGUGAAAUAGAACCUGAAACCAUCUGCUUACAAUCAUUCAGAGCCCUAUGAUUUAUCAGGGUGAUGGACUGCCUUUUGCAUAAUGAUCCUGCGAGU